UGUUGAAAGCCAGAUAUGAUACACUGGAUAAUAGAAACUGAGGUAAGUAGACCUCUAGUGUGAGGAUGUACAUUAAUCUGGCUAGGAGUUGGGCUUUAUUUGAUGAUCACUGUAGGGGUAGGUGCCAAAGGCAACAGCUAUUGUCCUUGUGUUGUUUCCUCUCUUGCUGUUGAGCUCCACUAAGUAGUCCUCCUCAGAAAGAGUCCAUGUCUUCCAAUUCUUUUAGCUAUAAUUCACUAUUACAAGGGACCCUGACUAAUGUGGUUGCCAGCUAUGUGUGUGGGGGGGUACAUUCUAUAAUCUUAGUAUGAAACCUCAGUCUUUUAGUCUGUGUAUCUCUCUGAGCUGUAACCUUCACAGAUGUUUUCCCAGUGGUAUAUCUUUUUUCUCCACCUUCCAUAAGACAAGAAGGCUACAGAGCUAGAGAAGGGGGAAUGUCUUUUCUGGCUGGGAUAUGGCUCUGGUAAAGUCUUUUCCCUGGUGUAGUAGGCUUUGUUACAGAGAACACUCUAGGGGUAUUUUCUAGGGAUUAUUUUUCCCUUUCUCCAUGAGAGCAACUUUUUUGGAUCUUCACCAUAAGAAGCUGAUAAGUUUCUGAAAUAAGCACAGAAAAGUUUGGAAACCUCUAAAGAUUGCAGUCCCCAGGAGUUUUUAGGCCUCAAGCUAGUCUACUCUGAGCCUCCAGUGACUCUUCAGAAGCACCACUCAAGUCUUCCUACCAGUUUACGGCUCUAGCCAUUCUACUUGAAGGAAGUGGAUCUCAGCUGUGACCCUCUAGACUUAUCUAUCUCUCUGGUUUUCAGGGUGGCAGUUGGCCUUGAAACUUCAGUUCUUUAAUUAGUUCAGGAAAAGUCAUUGAUUUUCAAUUUGUUCAACAUUUUCUUACUGUCAGUAUGGAAGCGACGACUUCUAAGCUCUCCUAUGUUGGGACUAAAACUGGAAUUCUUGAUUGAAUGUUUAAGAGGAAACUUUAAAUACUAAUUUGACCAACAACUUCUUAACCUAUGUUGCAUGAGUCACCUAAAAAUGUAAGCAAAUUUAUACAGCAUACAAAUCUGUACUUUUCAUAGAGAUCUAAAGGUUUUGUUAGAUUCUCAAAGAGUUGGAAGACUUGUAAAAGCUAUGAACUACAUGAUAGAAAAUAAUUCUUUUCAUCUAUGUAUGUGAAAAUACAACUCAUUUCCCCAAGCUAAGAGUAACAAGAAAACAUAAAACAUCACUUUUUGCUUUCAUUUGAAUAUCUUUGGGUAACGAAUGUAAAUUCCAAAUUAAAAGGUAGUACCUGCCAUGUAUGUUCAGUUUGUGAAAAGUUAUCUUGCUUCAAUAGUUUAUCAAAUAAUUUUGACAAUAUAAUGUGUAAUUUGGCUUUACAUAAAUUCAUCCUAACACCAGACAAAAUAACAUGUCUUUUUAAGAUAUGGUAAUAGAAGAUAAGACUUGUCUAGAUACAGGACUAAUACAAGGUUCCGACAAGGAAAGAAGACACUCAGUGAUUUUUUUUUAGCUUUUCUAAAAAACAAAGACUUAGCUUGAUCUAUUCGUAGAACAGAGUAAGCUAACAAUUCCAAAUCUGAUGUUGGAGGUAUCUCUCAUUUUAUAUAUUAUAUGAAUACUAUUAGCAAUAAAACAGCAAGAUAAAAGAUUGCUUUUUAAUUUUGUACCACUGUGUAAAUCAUUGUACUUAUUUUCAGGGCUGAUUAGAUAGCAUUGGUGACAGAAGGUGAAAAAGGAGCUUACAUGUGAGCAUUAAAUUAAUGUAACUUUUAUUAAAAGAACAUUAUGGUGGCAAUAUAAAUCCCCAACUGUUCUCUGUCAUCUCUAGUAGAUAAAAAGGAAAAGAAGCCCCACUGUUUACAGGAAGAAGGUCCUGUGGAGAGUCCAUCACUAUUUUGCUUUUGCUCAGCAUUUUACAUUACCAUCAGACUUCCUAACAGUGGUCUCUGAAAGAUGAAAGUGGACUCUCACUGAGAAUUCCACACAAAUGGAUUAAUUCGUGUCGCCAUUGUUGGCAUGUCGCCAUGGAUACGGCCAUCUGACGCCUCAGUGCAGCUAUAUUGAAGACUUAUGGGGAAAGAAGCCCAUUUACAACCUCAGAAAUAGCAAUGUGAAGAAAAGAAAUUUAGAAUGUGUGGUUCUGGCAUUAACUGCCACAGCUGGGGUUAAAAAGCUGAACAAGGAUCAUCUAUUUCGAGAGACAAGAGAGUUCUAUAAUGAGAGACCGACUGCCAGCAAUUAUCCUUUAAGGUGUGGAGCAAAAUAUGUCAUUAAAGAUCCUCGUGCCAAAAAGGAUAGGGGAAAACAGCUGGCAAAAUGAGCAGGAAUGAGUACUGCCUUUUGCAAGCUGUUCUCUGCAUUUUUAUUAAAUAUCAACGAAAGCGCAACAAUAUGAGACAGAACUUCAAACACAAUCACUGCUGUUAGCUGGAGUAACAAGCGCAACCCAGGAGCUGGACAAUGGUUCCUGUACCAGGUCCUCAAGUAACCUCGAUGCAGAGCAGAGGCAUGAAAAUCAGGACUCUUAUCUCAUUGAAAAUUAAUAUACUUUCCCUCUCCACCCCCACCCCCCAACACACACUCACACUUUGCUUGGUUUUCACAGGAUUAUGUGCGUUGAAGGAAUUCUGAAUCCCUCUGCAAUGAGAAGUUUCUAAUAUUGAUGAAUUAAGUGUUCAUUAAACAGAGCCCCUGCUAAGUGUUGUGGGUAUAAUAAUGAACGAGGCAGAGUCCAACCCUCAGCCAACCUUACUGUGUGUGGAUGAGGUGAGCCUCAGAGAAGAGGAAUAUAAGCUUAGGACUAAAUGGGUAAUACCAAUAAAGGAAACAAGUUAUCCAGCUCGGGUUCUAAGAAAAGAGGUGGGUAAAUGGAAACAGGGAGUGGAGCAUUCCCAAGAAAAGUAACAGGAUAACAGAAGCCCUAAGGGUAAGAGAGAGCAUAGAGUAGAAAGUAGUUUGAUAUGGCUCUGGGUAGAAUAGUGAGUGUGUGUGUGUUGGGAGUGGGAGGGAGAACAGGAGAAAGGUGGUGGAGGUACUGGAGUGAAAACAAAGGAGCUACACCACUGAGAGCCCCAGUGUGAUGUAGGGAGAGUCUGAACUUUAUCUUCAGGAUGAUGAGGUCAUUGAAAGAAUUUAAGUAGAAAAGACGGAUAGCCACAUCUGUGGUUAGAAAGACAAUUCUAAAGGCAGUAUACGGAAUGAUCUGUCUUGACUCAGAGGCCUGUUGGGGAACAGCUGGGAGAGAGAGAAUAGUUCAACUAAAGAAAGGUAGUGGUGGAGGGACAUCUGAGGAAUAGGAAGAUUUAAGAUAGACUUAAGAGGCAUGUAACUGGCAGGAUUUCAGAUUAUCUGGGCAGUGGGGUAACAGAGAAGGAACAUUCAAGGAUAAUGCUUUAUAGUAUCCCCUGGGCUACCAUGCAGACAGUGAUGCCAUUCAGUAAGAUAGUGAAUGUGGGAGGAAGAGUAAAUUUCUAGGGCAGGAAGUUGACCACAUGAUCAAAAAGGUAGUAGGAAAUGAGACUUAUUAGAAGGGCAACUGACACCUUUAGAAAAUAUGGAUAGGAUUUAGAGAAAUUGCCAGGUCUUUAUUAUUGCUAGAGAAGAACAUAUGAAUAGUUAAUUAUUAUCGUAAUUAUAGCCGAUUUCAUAAGAACAAUGUUUUUUCAUAAUAAAUAUUAUUUUCCUCAUCCUCACUUUUGCGUAUUUCUAGUAGUCUCAAAACUAAUCACUGGCCAUAGUGAUCUCAUCAUUCAAAGAGAUGGCAGCAGGGAGCAAGGUAAGGAAGAGAAGAGACAUAACUCCCAUACCCGUUAAAAAUUCAGUUCAGCUGAUAAAACAAAUACCCAAGUACAGUUUGUGAUCUCACGUAAAAGUAGCAAACCCCAGCUAAAAUUUCAGAUCCUCGGUCACGCUUUCCUACUCUUAUCCCAAUUUCAUGGCCCCUUGUUGAUGGUGUUACAUCCUUACUGCUAAUUGUAAUUAUUGUGUUUAUUUUUCUAGUUUCUUGAUUUAAUCUGAUUCCAUUCCUAGAGUAUAAGAUCCAUAGAACAAGAACCGAGUCUAUCUUGUUCCCUCUAUAUCUUGAAACCCAGCACAGAGUGUAGCACUGAGUAACAAAUGUAUUGGUUGAAAAAAAUUAAUCUCAAUGGAUUUUUAUGUUAAAAUAAAGAUUUGGCAUUCUUUCACACCGAAUCCUAAU